GACGAACGCUGGCGGCGUGCCUAACACAUGCAAGUCGAACGGAGAUUCAGAUGAAGCUUGCGAUUCUGAAUCUUAGUGGCGGACGGGUGAGUAACGCGUGGGUAAUCUGCCCUUAAGUGGGGGAUAACAGUCGGAAACGACUGCUAAUACCGCAUAAGCUGGCGGGAACACAUGUUUCUGUCAGGAAAGGUGGCCUCUUAACAAUGCUACCGCUUAAGGAUGAGCCCGCGUCUGAUUAGCUAGUAGGUGGGGUAAUGGCCUACCUAGGCGACGAUCAGUAGCCGGCCUGAGAGGGUGUACGGCCACACUGGAACUGAGACACGGUCCAGACUCCUACGGGAGGCAGCAGUGGGGAAUAUUGGUCAAUGGACGGAAGUCUGAACCAGCCAUGUCGCGUGAAGGAGGACGGCCCUAAGGGUUGUAAACUUCUUUUGCAGGGGAAUAAAGUAUUACUACGAGAUGGGAUAUUGCAAGUACGCUGCGAAUAAGGAUCGGCUAACUCCG
rnacentral:rRNA from 1 species